UACGUAGGGGCCGAGCGUUGUCCGGAUUCAUUGGGCGUAAAGAGCGUGUAGGCGGCCGCUUAAGUCCUGCGUGAAAUCUCGGAGCUCAACUCCGAGCGGUCGUGGGAAACUGGGCGGCUAGAGUGCGGGGAGAGGAGAGUGGGAAUUCCUGGUGUAGCGGUGGAAAUGCGCAGAUAUCAGGAAGAACACCCCGUGGCGAAGGGCGGGCUCUCUGGAACGCAACUGACGCUGAGACGCGAAAAGCGUGGGGGAGCAAAACAGG
rnacentral:rRNA from 1 species